CGGACUCGCCUGGAGAUCUGAGGAGUGUCUUUCAACUGACAUGAUUGUAAAAGUUAUUUUCAAAGAUAUUAAAUGAAACUUUUCUACUUCAAACCCACUGUCCAGAGUCGCCAUUGUCAACAAGUUGGUGUGGACUUUUUACUUUAUGAUAUACACACAGACGUUGUGGUGAGGAGACUCCUCCAUGAAGCCUGUGGUCUGAAGUAAGAGACCUAAACUCUGCACUUCUCAUCCACAUGAGCACGGGCUUCAUGAUCCUGGCCCUGACCCUGUGUCUGGUCCUCCUCCCGGCCAUGGGCUUCUCCUUCCGGCCAGUGUUCCGCCGCCUUAACAAGGCGGACCUGAUCUUCAGUUCCCUCAGCUUUUGCAUCGGUAAGUGUUUCCCUGGGGCAAGGGGUGCCCCUCCCUACCUCAGCAUCUCUCCCCUCUCCUCUUUCUGGCUCUGUGUGUCUCAGAGUUUCUGUCCUGCUGGGUGUCUGUCUUUGAAUGCCUCUUGGGCUCUCCGUCCCACCCUCCCUGUGUGUUUCUCAGUUCUAUAUCCUUCUCAGUCGGGGUGAGUGUGCUGGGCCUCUCACUCUCUUCCUGGUUCCCACUCUUUCUUUCCGCCCCCUCCUGGUAUCUUUCUGUCUGUCUUGUGUGUGCGUUUGCGCGCGCGCGCCCUUGUCACGGAGGGUGGGAGAGGAUGUGUCUCUUUUCUCUUUCUGGGGGCCUCGGGGUCCCUGUCCAGCCUCGUGUCCGUCUCUGGCCCCACCCCCAGUGCAGGGCUCCUGGUUGUCCUCAGCCUGACACUCUUUGUAGCCAACUGCGAGACGCUCCAACCGAGGCCACAGGUAUCCUACCUGGUGACCACCUACCUGUGCUGGGGCGCCGGCGCCGUGACGCUGGGGGCCGGUGAGGGCAGGGCCUCGGGAGGGAGGGGCGGGGUCUCGGCAGGGCAGGGGGCGGAACCCGGGGAGAAUACCAGGCAGGGCUUCUGGCCAGAUUGGGGCGGACCCCCGGGGAGGUCAGCCUCGAGGGACAGGGCGGGGCCUAGGGCGGGGUUCGGAGUCCACCAGCCCAUCUGGCCCCCACCCCCAGGAACCCUGAGCUACUUAAACUACGUGGGCAUGUGGGGCAAAAGGGGGCCCUCCAUGGAGCAGCGGCUGAACCACCGGCGGUGCGUCUCGCAGCAGAGCACCCUGAAGUUCAUGUCCGAACAGCAGCGGUCAGACCCAGACUCGAAGAGCACCGAGGAAGAGCCCAGUUCACUUCCUCCCCAAGAACCCCCGUCUAAGCCUCUCUAAGCAAUUGCACCCGAGCUUCUCAGGACACUGACGCCUCACCGCCGCCAGGUGCCGGGCCCACCCAUUUCAUCCUGGCCACGCGCCCGAGACUAGACUUCCCUGGAGGUCCCACUCCCUAAGAACCCCCCGAGAACAGGUGACAAAGCCCCACCCCUCGAGCCAGGGCCCUCCGUUGGCGGCUCGGUUCCCGCUCAGUCCUCACCCUGCCCCCACCCCGGAAGUCCGACACCGCCCCCUCCAGUUCUGCACUCCGUCUGUGCUGUGUGGCCUGUUGGUGUGGCCCCGCCCCCGAGCCUAGCUAGGCCCCGCCCCCAGGUGUCCAGCCCUCGCUGGCCGCGGCCCGAAGCCGCACUUCAUCAUAGGAAUUCCUACCUCUCCGAGGGCCAGCACCGCCCCAGGAUGUCCAGUCUUGACCCGGGCCGACACGACACUGCCUAACCUUUGAUGUAGCCACGCUCCUCGGCGGAACAGACCCCUCCCCAGGGAGGUGUGGCUUGCAAUUAUACCCCCCGCCCCUUCCUGGCUUCCCUGCCACAAUAAAACGUGGGCCCUAUCUCUCAGAGUCCGAGCCUCCGUUUCGUGCUCUCCCCCAGGGCAGAGUGGGGCUCAGAGUUCUUGCCUUGUCCUUUGGGGUCUGAGCCUUUCUCUGCCUCUUUGUCCACACCUGCCUCUGAUCCUUCCUUUCCCCUCUGAUCAUAACUGCAC